UGAGAAGGAAGGGAACCAUGUAUGUCACCUUGAGCUUCUCAGAGAAAGAGUUCUGCAAACCCUGAGGCUCUCCCAAGCCUUUCUCUCAUGUGCAGGAGUGGUGCUAUUUUGGCUCCACAAGGAUCUUCACUUGGAGAAUGAGUUCGCUGUUGAUACAGAGAAAGAGGGUGAAUGAUAGUUACGUGGACAUGUACGAGGCGUCUCUACACAUACACAAGUGUUUGCAUAAAGAAGAGUGUACAUGUUGUCUUCCAGAGUGUACUCACAUUUUGAACAUGAAGUAUCAAAGUAUUCCAGUGGCACUGAAAGCGGUGGGCAAAGUCCAAGAGUUUCAGAAUUAAUUUGCAUUUAACUCAGAUAAGUACCUCAAGAUUUAAAUGCUUAUUUGGAGCUUAUCUAAACAAGUUGGAUCUCGUCAGUCAGCACAUAUGAUUGGAUUUCUCACAACAUGAAAGCUGCCUUGUGGGGCAUCCAGUACUUCUCAUUACUAUUUUGUUACUGUCUCGGUAUUUUGGCCUUUCUCUAUUCAUGUCUCAGUAUUUUGGCGGCCUUUGUUCCUGUCUAGGUAUUUUGGCCUCUUUUGACUUCUAACCCAGCUGGAAACGAAAAUGUUGAGAGAGGCAUAUGGAAAUGCUAAAAAAUAAUAAUUUAAAAUAUAUAUAUAUUGGAGGGACUCUUUAAGGGCUCAUGUAAAAGCACCAAGGUGACAAUCUUAAAAUUCGUGGUGCAACUAAGGUAUUGUUGUGCUGCAAUCCUAAAGGGGGAAAGGACCCAUCACCUCAUCCUAAACCCUGCCAGACUGUGCCGGCAGCAUGGGAGUGUGAGUGCAGGAAUGUCCUGUAUUCCUCUGCCCAUUUCUGGGCUUCACAUCCUUCCCUCCCCCCUUCCAUUUUCCCUCUAAAUGUUUCCAACUGAGCUUGCAAUAGGAAGGAGAGGUUUAGACGUUCUCAAAAGGGUAUCUAAAUUGCCCCCUGGUCUGGGGAACAUGACAGGAGACCAUGAGGAAGGCUGAGGAAUAUUCUCAGAUGGCCCCUUAUUGGUCCUGCUAUGUGGGAUGAAUG